rnacentral:rRNA from 1 species
AUGUCUUCCUCCGGCUCCUCCCACUCAAACCUCAACCAACAGGUCACGGAGAAGCUCACCCGCACGAACUAUGUUCUGUGGCGCGCCCAGAUCGUGCCGCAGCUUUGGGGUGCUGGUGUCUUUGGCUAUGCCGACGGCACCACACCGGAGCCGGCUCGACUCCUCGUCACCAAGGACAAAGACAGGAAGGAGUCCUCAACGCCCAACCCUCUACACCCAAUCUGGGUCAAGGAGGACCAGCAGGUACUUGGUUAUCUGCUCAACAAUCUGUCCAAAGAGGUUCUUGUGCAGGUGACCGUGAUC